rnacentral:rRNA from 1 species
GAUGAACGCUGGCGGCGUGCCUAAUACAUGCAAGUCGAGCGAAUGGAUUAAGAGCUUGCUCUUAUGAAGUUAGCGGCGGACGGGUGAGUAACACGUGGGUAACCUGCCCAUAAGACUGGGAUAACUCCGGGAAACCGGGGCUAAUACCGGAUAACAUUUUGAACCGCAUGGUUCGAAAUUGAAAGGCGGCUUCGGCUGUCACUUAUGGAUGGACCCGCGUCGCAUUAGCUAGUUGGUGAGGUAACGGCUCACCAAGGCAACGAUGCGUAGCCGACCUGAGGGGGUGAUCGGCCACAUGGGGACUGGGACACGGCCCAGACUCAUACGGGAGGCAGCAGUAGGGAAUCUUCCGCAAUGGACGAAAGUCUGACGGAGCAACGCCGCGUGAGUGAUGAAGGCUUUCGGGUCGUAAAACUCUGUUGUUAGGGAAGAACAAGUGCUAGUUGAAUAAGCUGACACCUUGACGGUACCUAACCAGAAAGCCACGGCUAACUACGUGCCAGCCGCCGCCGUAA